GUCGAGCGAACUGAUUAGAAGCUUGCUUCUAUGACGUUAGCGGCGGACGGGUGAGUAACACGUGGGCAACCUGCCUGUAAGACUGGGAUAACUUCGGGAAACCGAAGCUACUACCGGAUAGGAUCUUCUCCUUCAUGGGAGAUGAUUGAAAGAUGGUUUCGGCUAUCACUUACGGAUGGGCCCGCGGUGCAUUAGCUAGUUGGUGAGGUAACGGCUCACCAAGGCAACGAUGCAUAGCCGACCUGAGAGGGUGAUCGGCCAAACUGGGACUGAGACACGGCCCAGACUAAUACGGGAGGCAGCAGUAGGGAAUCUUCCGCAAUGGACGAAAGUCUGACGGAGCAACGCCGCGUGAGUGAUGAAGGCUUUCGGGUCGUAAAACUCUGUUGUUAGGGAAGAACAAGUACGAGAGUAACUGCUCGUACCUUGACGGUACCUAACCAGAAAGCCACGGCUAACUACGUGCCAGCAGCCGCGGUAAUACGUAGGUGGCAAGCGUUAUCCGGAAUUAUUGGGCGUAAAGCGCGCGCAGGCGGUUUCUUAAGUCUGAUGUGAAAGCCCACGGCUCAACCGUGGAGGGUCAUUGGAAACUGGGGAACUUGAGUGCAGAAGAGAAAAGCGGAAUUCCACGUGUAGCGGUGAAAUGCGUAGAGAUGUGGAGGAACACCAGUGGCGAAGGCGGCUUUUUGGUCUGUAACUGACGCUGAGGCGCGAAAGCGUGGGGAGCAAACAGGAUUAGAUACCCUGGUAGUCCACGCCGUAAACGAUGAGUGCUAAGUGUUAGAGGGUUUCCGCCCUUUAGUGCUGCAGCUAACGCAUUAAGCACUCCGCCUGGGGAGUACGGUCGCAAGACUGAAACUCAAAGGAAUUGACGGGGGCCCGCACAAGCGGUGGAGCAUGUGGUUUAAUUCGAAGCAACGCGAAGAACCUUACCAGGUCUUGACAUCCUCUGACAACUCUAGAGAUAGAGCGUU
rnacentral:rRNA from 1 species